GAUGAACGCUGGCGGCGUGCCUAAUACAUGCAAGUCGAGCGAACGGACGAGAAGCUUGCUUCUCUGAUGUUAGCGGCGGACGGGUGAGUAACACGUGGAUAACCUACCUAUAAGACUGGGAUAACUUCGGGAAACCGGAGCUAAUACCGGAUAAUAUUUUGAACCGCAUGGUUCAAAAGUGAAAGACGGUCUUGCUGUCACUUAUAGAUGGAUCCACGCUGCAUUAGCUAGUUGGUAAGGUAACGGCUUACCAAGGCAACGAUGCAUAGCCGACCUGAGAGGGUGAUCGGCCACACUGGAACUGAGACACGGUCCAGACCCCUACGGGAGGCAGCAGUAGGGAAUCUUCCGCAAUGGGCGAAAGCCUGACGGAGCAACGCCGCGUGAGUGAUGAAGGUCUUCGGAUCGUAAAACUCUGUUAUUAGGGAAGAACAUAUGUGUAAGUAACUGUGCACAUCUUGACGGUACCUAAUCAGAAAGCCACGGCUAACUACGUG
rnacentral:rRNA from 1 species